rnacentral:rRNA from 1 species
UACGGAGGGUGCGAGCGUUGUCCGGAAUCAUUGGGCGUAAAGGGCGCGUAGGUGGCCCGCUCAGCGUGCGGUGAAAGCCUGGGCUCAACCCCGGGUCGGCCGUGCGAACUGGUGGGCUGGAGCACUGUAGAGGCAGGCGGAAUUCCGGGUGUAGCGGUGGAAUGCGUAGAGAUCCGGAAGAACACCGGUGGCGAAGGCGGCCUGCUGGGCAGUGGCUGACACUGGAGGCGCGACAGCGUGGGGAGCAAACAGG